GAAUAUCCUGCACCGGUAGUUUUUCGUAGAAACACGCAGUGGCGUGAGGAUUAGGGNUUUGUCGUUNGCCGCGAGAUGAAUGCAACCACUCGCGGGGACGUCAGAUUCAAUCUCCAAACGGUCCAAGUACUAAGGGCGUACGGUGAAUGCCUUGGCGCUAGAAGUCGAUGAAGGACGCGGUAAGCUGCGAUAAGCCUCGGUGAGCGGCAAACACGCUUUGACCCGGGGAUUUCCGAAUGGGGAAACCCUCUCUGGCUAAUCCCGGAGAAUCCUGAGCUGAAUACAUAGGCUCUGGAAGGCAACGGAGGGAAGUGAACCAUCUCAGUACCUCCAGGAAGAGAAAACAAUAGUGAUUCCGUCAGUAGCGGCGAGCGAACGCGGAUUAGCCCAAACCCUGUGCUUGCACAGUGGGGUUGGAGGACCUGUUGGACCGCAAGGUCGACGAGUCAAAAACCAGCAACAUAGUCGAACGAUCUGGAACGAUCGGCCAGAGACGGUGAAAGCCCGGUAGGCAAAAUAUUGCUGGCUCGUUGGACAGGCACCUGAGUACCGCGGGACACGUGAAAUCCCGUGGGAAUCUACGAGGACCAUCUCGUAAGGCUAAAUACUCUCUAGCGACCGAUAGUGAACCAGUACCGUGAGGGAAAGGUGAAAAGCACCCCUGUGAGGGGAGUGAAAUAGUACCUGAAACCGUAUGCCUACAAGCAGUGGGAGGGCUAUGCCCGUCUUCGGAUGGGAAUGCCUGACCGCGUGCCUUUUGCAUAAUGAGCCGGCUAGUUA
rnacentral:rRNA from 1 species